AAAAAACCAAAAGGGGGAAGAACAUUUUGCAGAAAAGAGAAAAAAAAAAAAAAAAAAAAAAAAAAAGAGGACUACGCACACACAACAUUCCUUAUACCCACAGGAGACGACAAGAAAAAAAAAAUAAGUGAAAAAGGAAGAACAACAAUCAACAUAUGCCAAAAAGAAAAACUGAGAAACCAAAAAGGAAAAAAAAAGUAUGGAGAAUUCUUUGAAAAUGUUAAAUUUGGGUUCUUGAUCGAGUCUUCGGUGACGGCGUUUCAUUUCAUUACUUUGUAUAAUUCAUCAUACAGAUUCUUAUUCAAUUUAAUUUAUACUAUUACAAGUUUUGCU
rnacentral:lncRNA from 1 species